GACGAACCGUGCAAACGUUAUUCGGAUUCACUGGGCUUAAAGGGCGCGUAGGCGGGCCAGCAAGUCAGGGGUGAAAUCUUUCAGCUCAACUGGAAAAGGGCCUUUGAUACUGCUGGUCUCGAGGGAGGUAGGGGCGUGCGGAACUUCCGGUGGAGCGGUGAAAUGCGUAGAUAUCGGAAGGAACGCCGGUGGCGAAAGCGGCGCGCUGGACCUCUUCUGACGCUGAGGCGCGAAAGCCAGGGGAGCAAACGGG
rnacentral:rRNA from 1 species